ACCAGGGCGACAGUGAUGGGCUGGACCUGGGGAAGGCAGGGGGAGGGGAGAAGCGUGUGAUUCUGGACAGGUUUUGAAGGUAGAACUCCAGGAUUUCCGGAUGGAUUGGAUGUGGGUGGUGAGACAAAGAGGGGAGUCAAGGGUGACCCCAAGCGUUUUGGCCUGAGCACAGGCGGGAGGCGACAUGAUUGAGCUCUAAGGGGCACGUGGGAGUGUGUCCCCGAAAGACUGCGGGGAGGCUGCGCACUCGGACCCCGUAUUCCAAGAAGUCUGCCGCAAGGGGGCAGAGAGGCCGGCCCGAGCUGGGGGCCCUCGGGGCCAGGCGACGAGACAGGCACCGGGCAGGGCUGGGACAAUCCAGACAGAAGGAAAACGGGGCCCGGCCCACCCCCCACGGACCAAGGCAUCUCACCGACACUGCUGGACAGGGUCAGAGGGCACACACAGUCUGGCUCC